AAACAACAACAUUAUUUCAGUCUGGAGAGACUCAAACGGAGAAAGAAGGCGAUUAAAAGAGUUUAAUGACAAAAUGAACAUGAAAAUAAACAAAGUUCUUUGGUGUUCAGGCCCCGGCCGGGGACAUCGAGCUGGACUUUGAUGAGCUCGAUGAACAUUCCUGAUGCAGCAUAGGAAUGUGGACCCCCCGGGGCCUGUACUGGUGGCGGCGGUCGGAGGAAGAUGAGGCCUGAGAGCCGAAGGUGGAGAUGGGGUGGAGGUGGGUUGAUCGCAGCUGGUGAGCAGAGGAGGCUAUGGGUGGAGGCCUUUUGGACCGAAGCCCAAACGAUGAUUGGCUGGAGCGAGGCUUGGUCCGCGCCGAUAGGUCCAGGUUGCAGAGAGGCGGGCGCUGAUUGAUGAGGCAGGUGUGACUAGAGUCUUCCAGACUGAACUUUUGUCAAGACUCCAUUUUCAACAGACACAUAAAAUAAAAAGUGUGACAUACUACAGCUUUGAGGAGAUGCCAGAGAAGAGUUCUGCAGCUGAAUGCAGAAUAGAGAAUCAUGUCCAUGACCCUUCCCCACCUUUGGCUGCACAUCACAGCUAAGCUGGCUGAAAAAUGCAACUCCUUUGUUUUUUGUUUGUUUUUAUUUUCUCCUUUGCGUACAGGACAGACAAAUUUAUCUGUUGGAAAUACUUCUUGUUGCAAAAAGACUCGUCAGCCGUGCUUUUUAAAGGGAUAAAUUGGGUUUCACAACAUAAGGUUCAGUGAAUUUAUCAUCAUUCAUCGUCCCCCUUACCUGCUGUACCACCGUCUCAAGCUCACUGUCAUAUCAGUGAGUUUGCAGUAACAUUGGUGCAGAAUAAUGACCCCUCCAUACUCGGGUAUUCAAAGCGUACCACCUGAUCGGUUUUGGCUAAUGACUAAUGAAACUAUUUUUCCAUGGCAUGCAAUACUAUUUUACAGGUUAUUAACCAUUUUUGCGAAUGUUUGUAUUUUGUCCUCUGAACAGCAUCGCUGUUAAUACACUACAAUUAUUCUGACAGAGUCUUGGCUGCAUCAGUCCAUCCCAUCAGUUGACCAUGAAUCCAUUAUGGGUCAUUUAUAAAUUACAACAAGAUCUGGACAAGCAGAGGAACGUACCACCUUCAAUGCCCUUGCAAAACAACAAUGGCUCAAGGUUGCAAAAAAUAAAAAUAAUAAUAAUAAUAAAAAUAAAUAAAUAAAAAAUGCCCUCUAUUAAGGUAUUCUAAUAUUUGUAAAGCUACAGUUGCAGUCGGUUAUGAUGUGGGAGCUAAAAGACCUUUUAUGACUAUUAAGCUUACUUUGUUUUAAAACCACAGUUGGCACGUAAAGGGCAGCAUGUCUGCCUAGAAACCAACCGCAGCCUCUAAUUAACCAGCUAAUAUCAGCUUGUUAUACUUGUGGUACUUUAUAAAGAGCAGAAA